GACGAACGCUGGCGGCGUGCCUAAUACAUGCAAGUCGAGCGCAGGAAAUCGACGGAACCCUUCGGGGGGAAGUCGACGGAAUGAGCGGCGGACGGGUGAGUAACACGUAAAGAACCUGCCCUCAGGUCUGGGAUAACCACGAGAAAUCGGGGCUAAUACCGGAUGGGUCAUCGGACCGCAUGGUCCGAGGAUGAAAGGCGCUUCGGCGUCACCUGGGGUUGGCUUUGCGGUGCAUUAGCUAGUUGGUGGGGUAAUGGCCCACCAAGGCGACGAUGCAUAGCCGACCUGAGAGGGCGAUCGGCCACACUGGGACUGAGACACGGCCCAGACUCCUACGGGAGGCAGCAGUAGGGAAUCUUCCACAAUGGACGAAAGUCUGAUGGAGCAACGCCGCGUGAACGAUGAAGGCCUUCGGGUCGUAAAGUUCUGUUGUAAGGGAAGAACAAGUGCCGCAGGCAAUGGCGGCACCUUGACGGUACCUUGCGAGAAAGCCACGGCUAACUACGUGCCAGCCGCCGCGGUAA
rnacentral:rRNA from 1 species